GAUGAAGAACGUAGCGAAAUGCGAUAGGUAGUGUGAAUUGCAGAUGUAACGUGAAUCAUCGAAUCUUUGAACGCAAAUUGCACUCUCUGGUAUUCCGGGGAGUAUGCCUGUUUGAGGGUCGCCAAAUCAACAUCGAAAUUCAUUUGCUUUUGUAAAUGUUUAUCGGAUUUGAGCCGUCUUUUAUUUUUUUAAUUAAAGUGGCUUAAAAUGUAUUUUUUGGUAUCGAAAAACGUUAUUUUACGAUCAAAUUGAUUAAAAAAACAAACGUUUCGAAUGCCGUCUUUUAAUGUAAUACGCUUGACUGUGGUGUUAAUCAUAGUUUCAUUCGUAUACGAUUUUUUAAUUUUUGACCUCAAAUCAGGUAAGAACACCCGCUGAACUUAAGCAUAUCAAAAGCGGAGGA
rnacentral:misc_RNA from 1 species